rnacentral:ncRNA from 2 species
AGAGUUUUAUGCGACUGGCGGAAAUAGUGGAAUCAACCACGUGGAGCAUGAAACUGAAUAUACAGCCGACCGCCUGGGCACUUAGU